rnacentral:rRNA from 1 species
GCAGGCUAGAGUCUUGUAGAGGGGGGUAGAAUUCCAGGUGUAGCGGUGAAAUGCGUAGAGAUCUGGAGGAAUACCGGUGGCGAAGGCGGCCCCCUGGACAAAGACUGACGCUCAGGUGCGAAAGCGUGGGGAGCAAACAGGAUUAGAUACCCUGGUAGUCCACGCCGUAAACGAUGUCGAUUUGGAGGUUGUGCCCUUGAGGCGUGGCUUCCGGAGCUAACGCGUUAAAUCGACCGCCUGGGGAGUACGGCCGCAAGGUUAAAACUCAAAUGAAUUGACGGGGGCCCGCACAAGCGGUGGAGCAUGUGGUUUAAUUCGAUGCAACGCGAAGAACCUUACCUG